UUGGGGGCAUCUUUGGGGGGCUGGAGGGCACCUACGGGGGUCCAGGGAGCACCAAGGGACAUGGGGCUGGAGGGGACAGAGGGGACACGGGGACAAGGGGACAGAGGGGACACGGGGACAAGGGGACAGAGGGGAGGUGGAGACAGAGGGGACGGGGGGACCUGGGGGUGGAGGGACACAGGGGUGGAGGGGACCGGGGGUGCUGGGGACACGUGGUGACACAGUGCCCUGGUGCCCCGGUGACACGGUGACACGGUGACACGGUGACCCGGUGCCCUGGUGACACGGUGACACGGUGACAUGGUGACACGGUGACCCUGUGCCAUGUGGCAGUGUCGGACCUGGCCCCGGGGCAGAGCGGGCUGGAUGACAUGAAGCUGCUGGAGCAGCGCGCGGAGCAGCUGGCGGCCGAGGCGCAGCGCGACGCCCCCCGCCCCAAGGACAGGGUCCUCUUCGUCAGGGCCGAGGGCCCGCGGGAGGCCGUGGCCGCGCUGUCCCAGCAGGGGAACCCCGACGAGAUCGACCUGGGGGACGAGGACGAGCCCGAGCCCGACGGUACCGGGGGGGGGGACACGGGGAUGGGGACGGGGGGCGGGGGGAUAUGGGGACAGGGACAGGGGGACAGGGGGACAUGGGGACACAGGGAUAUGGGGACAGGGACAUUGAGAUGGGGAUGGGGGGACACAGGGACAUGGGGACAGGGAUAUGGGGAUGGGGACAUCGAGAUAGG
rnacentral:lncRNA from 1 species